AAACUACUCCCUCCGUCCCAAAAUUCUUGUCUUAGAUUUGUCUAGAUACGGAUGUACCUAAUACUAAAACAUGACUUGAUACAUCCGUAUUUAGACAAAUCUAAGACAAGAAUUUUGGGACGGAGGGAGUAUAGU
rnacentral:pre_miRNA from 1 species